GACGUAGGGCGCGAGCGUUGUCCGGAUUUAUUGGGCGUAAAGAGCUCGUAGGCGGCUCGUUGCGUCGGCUGUGAAAACCCGCAGCUCAACUGUGGGCUUGCAGCCGAUACGGGCGGGCUGGGAUUCGGUAGGGGAGACUGGAAUUCCUGGUGUAGCGGUGAAAUGCGCAGAUAUCAGGAGGAACACCGGUGGCGAAGGCGGCAUCCUGGACCGGUAUUGACGCUGAGGCGCGAAAGCCAGGGGAGCAAACGGG
rnacentral:rRNA from 1 species